GGAUUUUGCGCAAUAUAAUUAAACCGGCUAAAUUUGGAAUAUAGCAAAACGAUGGCAGUUUUCUAAUCACUGCCCGAUACACAUUUAUCAGACAAAGAAAUUUUUAUAAAAAUAUAUUUUUUACAAGGCAGUUCAAAGAAAAGAAAUAUAUACAUUAUAUUCGAAAUUAUUGUUUUUUUAAAGUAUUUCUUAAUUUCUGUGAAUAAAAUUUUGUAUAUUGCAAAAUAUCGACGUUAAAAGCGAUGUCUUGCGGAUUCGUUACCUGCGGUCCCAACGAAGCUUUAGUGGUGUCAGGAUGUUGUUAUAUGAAACCUCUGCUAGUACCAGGUGGACGGGCUUUUGUUUGGCCAUGCGUACAACAGGUGCAAAGAAUAUCUUUAAAUACCAUGACCUUGCAAGUGGAGAGUCCAUGUGUCUACACCAGCCAAGGUGUACCUAUUUCGGUUACCGGUAUAGCUCAGGUCAAAGUGGAGGGACAAAACGAAGAUAUGCUGUUAACUGCUUGUGAACAAUUUUUAGACAAGGAUGAAGACGAAAUCAGUCAUAUUGCCUUGGUUACACUGGAAGGCCAUCAAAGAGCUAUCAUGGGUUCAAUGACGGUAGAAGAAAUUUACAAGGAUCGCAAGAAGUUUAGUAAACAAGUAUUUGAAGUAGCUUCUUCGGAUCUCGCUAAUAUGGGAAUAACGGUUGUGUCAUAUACCAUUAAGGAUAUCAGAGAUGAGGAGGGAGAGGCUAAGGGUUACUUGAAAGCUUUGGGAAUGGCUAGGACUGCUGAAGUAAAGCGCGAUGCACGUAUAGGAGAAGCGGAGGCACGCAGUGAAGCUCAAAUUAAAGAAGCUAUAGCAGAAGAACAACGCAUGGCUUCGCGUUUUUUAAAUGAUACAGAAAUAGCGAAGGCUCAGCGAGAUUUUGAGCUUAAAAAGGCCGCUUACGAUGUUGAGGUACAAACCAAAAAGGCUGAGGCUGAGCUGGCUUAUGAAUUGCAAGCAGCUAAAACAAAGCAGCGUAUCAAGGAAGAGCAGAUGCAAGUAAAAGUUGUUGAACGCACACAAGAAAUAGCAGUGCAACAACAGGAGAUACAAAGACGCGAAAAAGAACUCGAAUCUACUAUUAGGCGCCCGGCCGAAGCGGAGAAAUUUAAAUUGGAAAAAUUAGCCGAAGCCAAUAAAAUAAAAAUAAUAAUUGAGGCUGAAGCGGAAGCCGAAUCUAUAAAAAUACGUGGGGAAGCUGAGGCUUAUGCCAUAUCAGCCAAAGCAAAAGCUGAAGCCGAGCAAAUGGCUGCCAAAGCCGAAGCUUGGCGUGAGUACCGUGAAGCCGCCAUGGUAGAAAUGUUGUUGGAUACCUUACCAAAGGUGGCCGCCGAAGUAGCUGCUCCUUUAUCACAAGCGAAAAAGAUCACCAUGGUUUCGGGAGGUCAAGGUGAAAUCGGCGCAGCUAAAUUAACGGGCGAAGUUUUGCAAAUUGUCAAUAAAGUGCCAGAGCUUGUAAAAAGUAUAACUGGGGUGGACAUAGCUCGGGUACGUUUAUUGGAAUAACUUUAAAAACGAUGAGAAAAAGAAAAAAGUAAGAAACAACGAAAGCAAAUCUGCAGUCCGAAAAUGUAAAUUACGAAAGUCUUUGCAUUCUGGUUAGACGAUAAAGUUACAAAUGUUUAAUGUUCAACAGAAUUGAUUGGUUAUUAUAAUUAAACAAAUAA